rnacentral:rRNA from 1 species
GACGAACGCUGGCGGCGUGCUUAACACAUGCAAGUCGAACGGAAAGGCCUGCUUUCCCUUGUGGAUUGCGGGUACUCGAGUGGCGAACGGGUGAGUAACACGUGAGUGAUCUGCCCCCAACUUGGGUAUAAGCCUGGGAAACUGGGUCUAAUUCCCGAUAGGACUGCAGGGUGGUGCCUGUGGUGGAAAACGAUUUUCUAGUGGUUGGGGAUGAGCUCGCGGCCUAUCAGCUUGUUGGUGGGGUAAUGGCCUACCAAGGCGGCGACGGGUAGCCGGCCUGGGAGGGUGGACGGGCACAUUGGGACUGAGAUACGGCCCAGACUCCUGCGGGAGGAAGGAGUGGGGAAUAUUGCACGCUGGGCGGAAGCCUGAUGCAGGGACGAGGCGUGGGGGAUGACGGCCUUCGGGUUGUAAACUCCUUUCGACCGCGAGGAAGCCACCUGGUUGGAAGGGUGGUGACGGUAGUGGUAGAAGAAGCACCGGCUAACUACGUG